GCACAGUGGUUCCACUGUGGCUCACACGCACACUUCUGUUCAUGCAGCUGAUCCCCACGGAGCCCCACUCACCAGGGAGGAGCUUCAGGUUUCAAGGUCUACGUAAAUAGGAGCAGCUCUCAGCAGAGUCAUAAGCAUAAGUCUAACCACCAUGUCUAACAUACCAGGUGGGCUUUGAACCCUAUGGCUGUUCUUGGUCUUUGAAAUGCUAGGUCCUUCCUCUUCUCUCCAGUUUCUCACUCCCAAUCCUGACUGGAGGUGCUGUUAGGUUCCCUGGAGCAUUUUUUUCUCUUUGCUCCAAGGCCUAGAUGGCAUCCUACUAGUAUCAAAUCUCUAACUUCUAGCUCCUGGUUCAAGGUCCAGCCUGUCCUGCACACUUUCCAGCUGCUUUCUCAGCAGCUGCCACCGAGGUUGCUCUUUGUGGUUUGUGGUCCAUGAUGCCUCACCGCUUGUUCUGGCUGCCUUCUCUCCUAAAUGAAGACUGUUUCCUGUUUCUUUUUACUUUCACUUGCCUUAUUACCCGUGGACUCCCUGUGGCGCAUCUUAGGCUUGGCUCUGCUAUAGUUACCUGUCCAAUGACACAGUCCUGAGCUGAUGCUGGAGUGUCCUGGGGAUCAGUGACUGCUUCUGUGUUGAAAGGCCCAAAGAUGGUACUGAGCACAUACUAUAGAGGAUGUAGAUCUGACUUCUUCUGCACCUACUGGGUUUCGCUGACUUCUUGUUCCUGGAGAUGUUCUGCAAGUAGACACCAAGAACAGAACUAGCAGCACCAGCGGGAUCGAAGACCUGGUGCUUCCUCUUCAGUUUUAUUACCUUUCUGAUUCCAGCCAAGAAUGUGUUGUGAUUCCAAACCCCAGCCCACAACGAUGUGUUAGGUCUAUUCUGGUUUCUGCAUUGAUUCACAAUGAAUAAAAAUUAAGUUGG
rnacentral:lncRNA from 1 species